AAUGAACGCUGGCGGCAGGCCUAACACAUGCAAGUCGAACGCCCCGCAAGGGGAGUGGCGCACGGGUGAGUAACGCGUGGGAACAUGCCCUUCGGUUCGGAAUAACACAGGGAAACUUGUGCUAAUACCGGAUACGAUCUACGGAUGAAAGAUUUAUCGCCGAGGGAGUAGCCCGCGUAGGAUUAGCUAGUUGGUGAGGUAAUGGCUCACCAAGGCGACGAUCCUUAGCUGGUCUGAGAGGAUGAUCAGCCACACUGGGACUGAGACACGGCCCAGACUCCUACGGGAGGCAGCAGUGGGGAAUAUUGGACAAUGGGCGAAAGCCUGAUCCAGCCAUGCCGCGUGAGUGAUGAAGGCCUUAGGGUUGUAAAGCUCUUUCGCCAGGGAAGAUAAUGACGGUACCUGGAAAAGAAGCCUCGGCUAACUCCGUGCCAGCCGCCGCCGUAAAAC
rnacentral:rRNA from 1 species